rnacentral:rRNA from 1 species
UGGGGAAUAUUGGGCAAUGGGGGAAACCCUGACCCAGCAACGCCGCGUGAAGGAAGAAGGCCUUCGGGUUGUAAACUUCUUUUACCAGGGACGAAGGACGUGACGGUACCUGGAGAAAAAGCCACGGCUAACUACGUGCCAGCAGCCGCGGUAAUACGUAGGUGGCAAGCGUUGUCCGGAUUUACUGGGUGUAAAGGGCGUGUAGGCGGAGCUGCAAGUCAGAUGUGAAAUCUCCGGGCUUAACCCGGAAACUGCAUUUGAAACUGUAGCCCUUGAGUAUCGGAGAGGCAAGCGGAAUUCCUAGUGUAGCGGUGAAAUGCGUAGAUAUUAGGAGGAACACCAGUGGCGAAGGCGGCUUGCUGGACGACAACUGACGCUGAGGCGCGAAAGCGUGGGGAGCAAACAGGAUUAGAUACCCUGGUAGUCCACGCUGUAAACGAUGAAUACUAGGUGUGGGGGGACUGACCCCUUCCGUGCCGCAGUUAACACAAUAAGUAUUCCACCUGGGGAGUACGACCGCAAGGUUGAAACUCAAAGGAAUUGACGGGGGCCCGCACAAGCAGUGGAUUAUGUGGUUUAAUUCGACGCAACGCGAAGAACCUUACCAGGAUUUGACAUCCCACUAACGAAGUAGAGAUACAUUAGGUACCCUUCGGGGGAAGUGGAGACAGGUGGUGCAUGGUUGUCGUCAGCUCGUGUCGUGAGAUGUUGGGUUAAGUCCCGCAACGAGCGCAACCCCUAUUGUUAGUUGCUACGCAAGAGCACUCUAGCGAGACUGCCGUUGACAAAACGGAGGAAGGCGGGGACGACGUCAAAUCAUCAUGCCCCUUAUGUCCUGGGCUACACACGUAAUACAAUGGCGUUUAACAAAGGGAAGCGAAGCCGCGAGGUGGAGCAAAUCCCGAAAAGGCGUCUCAGUUCGGAUUGCAGGCUGCAACUCGCCUGCAUGAAGCUGGAAUUGCUAGUAAUCGUGGAUCAGCAUGCCACGGUGAAUACGUUCCC